rnacentral:lncRNA from 1 species
UGGUAAUGCCUCGUAACCCCUUUCCAGUGAUGGAUACGAGUUAGGGGUGUUACAGCAAGGAUCAUAUGGUUGACACACACGCACGUCCGUGUCUAAGGCCAUGUUGACAUUCGGAGUAGGGACACACGGCUGUGUCCCAGCCCGUGUUCGUGCUUGUGUAAAUCUUUGACUUGGGUCACACGACCAAGCCACACGUCCAUGUGUCAGGCCGUGUAACUCUUGAAAUGGCCUCACACGCCUGUGUAUUAGGCCGUGUGGACAAGAAAAAGGUCAUUUCAAAGCAAAUUCUCUCAUCCAAAACAAGCUCACCUGUACAAGCCAUUUGCACCUAUAUUCAAGAGUUCAACAUGUACCUAAAACAUGCAUAAUCAUGCGAAAUCAAUAUGGUAUUUGUCCAUACAACCAAUAUGCCUAAAAGGCACAUCAAUC